GACGAACGCUGGCGGCGUGCCUAAUACAUGCAAGUCGAACGCACGAAGUUGAAGAGCUUGCUCUUUAACCAACUGAGUGGCGGACGGGUGAGUAACACGUGGGUAACCUGCCCAUUAGAGGGGGAUAACAUUCGGAAACGGAUGCUAAUACCGCAUAGUUUCAGGAAUCGCAUGAUUCUUGAAGGAAAGGUGGCUUCGGCUACCACUAAUGGAUGGACCCGCGGCGUAUUAGCUAGUUGGUGAGGUAAUGGCUCACCAAGGCAAUGAUACGUAGCCGACCUGAGAGGGUGAUCGGCCACACUGGGACUGAGACACGGCCCAGACUCCUACGGGAGGCAGCAGUAGGGAAUCUUCCGCAAUGGACGAAAGUCUGACGGAGCAACGCCGCGUGAGUGAAGAAGGUUUUCGGAUCGUAAAACUCUGUUGUUAAAGAAGAACAAGGAUGAGAGCAACUGCUCAUCCCCUGACGGUAUUUAACCAGAAAGCCACGGCUAACUACGUGCCAGCAGCCGCGGUAAUACGUAGGUGGCAAGCGUUGUCCGGAUUUAUUGGGCGUAAAGCGAGCGCAGGCGGUUCUUUAAGUCUGAUGUGAAAGCCCCCGGCUCAACCGGGGAGGGUCAUUGGAAACUGGAGAACUUGAGUGCAGAAGAGGAGAGUGGAAUUCCACGUGUAGCGAUGAAAUGCGUAGAUAUGUGGAGGAACACCAGUGGCGAAGGCGACUCUCUGGUCUGUAACUGACGCUGAGGCUCGAAAGCGUGGGGAGCAAACAGG
rnacentral:rRNA from 1 species